rnacentral:rRNA from 1 species
GGGUUGUGAGGUUAAGCGACUAAGCGUACACGGUGGAUGCCCUGGCAGUCAGAGGCGAUGAAGGACGUGCUAAUCUGCGAUAAGCGUCGGUAAGGUGAUAUGAACCGUUAUAACCGGCGAUUUCCGAAUGGGGAAACCCAGUGUGAUUCGUCACACUAUCAUUAACUGAAUCCAUAGGUUAAUGAGGCGAACCGGGGGAACUGAAACAUCUAAGUACCCCGAGGAAAAGAAAUCAACCGAGAUUCCCCCAGUAGCGGCGAGCGAACGGGGAGCAGCCCAGAGCCUGAAUCAGUGUGUGUGUUAGUGGAAGCGUCUGGAAAGGCGCGCGAUACAGGGUGACAGCCCCGUACACAAAAAUGCACAUACUGUGAGCUCGAUGAGUAGGGCGGGACACGUGGUAUCCUGUCUGAAUAUGGGGGGACCAUCCUCCAAGGCUAAAUACUCCUGACUGACCGAUAGUGAACCAGUACCGUGAGGGAAAGGCGAAAAGAACCCCGGCGAGGGGAGUGAAAAAGAACCUGAAACCGUGUACGUACAAGCAGUGGGAGCCUCUUUAUGGGGUGACUGCGUACCUUUUGUAUAAUGGGUCAGCGACUUAUAUUCUGUAGCAAGGUUAACCGAAUAGGGGAGCCGAAGGGAAACCGAGUCUUAACUGGGCGUUAAGUUGCAGGGUAUAGACCCGAAACCCGGUGAUCUAGCCAUGGGCAGGUUGAAGGUUGGGUAACACUAACUGGAGGACCGAACCGACUAAUGUUGAAAAAUUAGCGGAUGACUUGUGGCUGGGGGUGAAAGGCCAAUCAAACCGGGAGAUAGCUGGUUCUCCCCGAAAGCUAUUUAGGUAGCGCCUCGUGAAUUCAUCUCCGGGGGUAGAGCACUGUUUCGGCAAGGGGGUCAUCCCGACUUACCAACCCGAUGCAAACUGCGAAUACCGGAGAAUGUUAUCACGGGAGACACACGGCGGGUGCUAACGUCCGUCGUGAAGAGGGAAACAACCCAGACCGCCAGCUAAGGUCCCAAAGUCAUGGUUAAGUGGGAAACGAUGUGGGAAGGCCCAGACAGCCAGGAUGUUGGCUUAGAAGCAGCCAUCAUUUAAAGAAAGCGUAAUAGCUCACUGGUCGAGUCGGCCUGCGCGGAAGAUGUAACGGGGCUAAACCAUGCACCGAAGCUGCGGCAGCGACACUAUGUGUUGUUGGGUAGGGGAGCGUUCUGUAAGCCUGUGAAGGUGU